rnacentral:rRNA from 1 species
AGUGAACGCUGGCGGUAGGCCUAACACAUGCAAGUCGAACGGCAGCACAGUAAGAGCUUGCUCUUACGGGUGGCGAGUGGCGGACGGGUGAGGAAUACAUCGGAAUCUACUUUUUCGUGGGGGAUAACGUAGGGAAACUUACGCUAAUACCGCAUACGACCUACGGGUGAAAGCAGGGGAUCUUCGGACCUUGCGCGAUUGAAUGAGCCGAUGUCGGAUUAGCUAGUUGGCGGGGUAAAGGCCCACCAAGGCGACGAUCCGUAGCUGGUCUGAGAGGAUGACCAGCCACACUGGAACUGAGACACGGUCCAGACUCCUACGGGAGGCAGCAGUGGGGAAUAUUGGACAAUGGGCGCAAGCCUGAUCCAGCCAUGCCGCGUGGGUGAAGAAGGCCUUCGGGUUGUAAAGCCCUUUUGUUGGGAAAGAAAAGCAGCAGGUUAAUACCCCGCUGUUCUGACGGUACCCAAAGAAUAAGCACCGGCUAACUUCGUG